AAAUCAGAUCUGAAUCUUCCAGACCCGAAAUCGAAAAUGUGCAGGAAAUCGCAAAAUUGAAUCGAAACCCUAGUUUUCUUCCUUCUGUUCUUCAUCUUCGCUCAAGUGAGCAUCAAUUCAUCAGUGAUUGUUCGUCGUUCCUCUACUUCGAUCUUGAGCAUCGCAAGUUCUCCAUCCAACGGCAGAGUCCAGAGUCUCCUUCUUCUUCUCCUUCGAGCAACAGAGUCCAGAGACUCAGAAGCUUCCUUUUCAGUAUUCUCCUUCGAGUUGCAGCUUUUGCAAGGCAGAGUCUCCAGACUCCAUCGUUCAGGCUCCAGACAAUGGCGGGGCAGCUCCCCAAAUGGCAGGAGGCACAUCCUGAAACAAGUAAGCCACGGUUCGAGGCCACCCGGGACGGAGGAAAUCUGAACUUCAGUAGUUGAUCAGGUAGGUCGAUCUCUAAGAUUUGAUUUCGAGGUUAACUUAUUCCCGUAGGAAAACAGGGGUCUUUGUGUAGUAAAAGUAAAAGACAAGAUUUAUCUUGGUUGAAUUUUCGUUUUUCCUUAUUGACCUGCUGGCUGCUGCCUGUUUGUUUGUUUGGUGGGUUCUUGCAACUGGGUUUGUGCUGUGCGUGGAUGGAUGGGAUGAAUGUGUCCGUGUGUUGGUCUUCUAUUCUUUGAAAGCAUGGUCUUCCGAGAUCUCGUCGAGAUGAUUUUAUCAGGCAAGGAGGGUUUUGGAGACUUGUGGCAUGCUGUGCGAGAAAAAUUGCUUUGGAUGUACAGAUAAGCUCUUUCAUCUGAUUCCACGCGGGUCGUCCAAAUGAUUGAGGCAGCUUUUUCAGGAUGAACUGCUCUUGGAGGACAUUGAGAAGUGCAGAGCUCUCGAUAAUGAGGAGAUUCCACCACCGCUUGAUGCUUUCCAGAAACUUCUUUUUGAAUCAGAGCCAGAGACUGAGUCGACUUCAAAGAUGUUGCUCACAAAGACGGCAGUUAAUGCUUGCACGAGGGACAUGUACCAUUAUGCUCGAGUUUGUAGAUUUCAUGUGCUGGAAUGUAUCAUGGAUGCAGCAUUGUCGACUGUAAAGAAGCAAGACAUUGAAGAAGCUAGAAAUGUGAGUGCUGAAAUAAUAGCUUUUGCUCUAGUCAACCAAAUCCUUUACUAAAUUCUUUGUAUCUUACUCAACUCACUUUCCUUUACAUAUGAGUCAUUUGCAAUUAGAUGCAAAUAAUUUUUUUCUUGUAUUUUUUUAGACACAUAUUAAUUAUUAUCUAAUAUUUAUUAC